CAGUAGCCACGGGAAUACAGAGGAUGCAAGCGUUAUCCGGAAUGAUUGGGCGUAAAGCGCGCGUAGGCGGCUUCUUAAGUCUGAGGUGAAAGGUUCAACGCUUAACGUGAACAGUGCCUUGGAUACUGGGGAGCUUGAGUAUGGGAGAGGGCAGUGGAAUGGCUGGUGUAGCGGUGAAAUGCGUAGAUAUCAGUCGGAACACCCAUGGCGAAGGCAGCUGCCUGGCCUAAUACUGACGCUGAGGUGCGAAAGCGUGGGGAGCGAACGGGAUUAGAUACCCGUGUAGUCCCUGUCUCUUAUA
rnacentral:rRNA from 1 species